AGCAUUUUUUUUACAUUUUAAUAUUUUAUGAUGUAUUUAAAUGAGUAGUUAUUGUUGCAAACUUCAUUAGAAAUUUGAAUUGAGAUCAGUUUUGAAAUAAGUGAAAGGGGGAUGUGGGAAAAAUUGGAGGUCAAUUUUUUUCAUUUCAGAUUUCAUAAAUAAAAAGAAAAUUUCUUCAAACAUUUUUUGAGAGGAUUAAUAUUCAACAGCAUAGUGAAUUGUUCAAAGGCAAACAUUUUUUUUUAAGUUCAUUAGACCACAUUCAUUCUGUGUCAGAAACCUAUGCUGUGUCAACUAUUUAAUCACAAUCCAAAUUUAGAGCUGAAUCCAGCUUGAAUGUUGUGUCCAUACUUGCCCCAACCGUUCAGGGUUCAACCUCUGCGGUCGUAUAAAGCUGCGCCCUGCGGAGCAUCUGGUUGUUUUUAUUUUAAGAUUUCAGUAAAUAAGAGAACUCGUUUAUUUACAAUGAUUUCUGUUGGCAUAAAACAUGUAUAUGAUAUGAUAUAAUAUUUACACUUUAGAAUUUGAUAACAAUUUUUAAUUCUAAAAUGUUGUAAGAGUUUAAAAGUGAAAUAAAGGAAUAUGAUUUACCUAUUACAUUUUAGAUAUCCCCUUUAUGAUCAUUAGUUCAGAAUUUUGUUAAGUUAUAUUUUUCAUGUUAACUUUGUUUUUGCAAUUUAAAGUCAAAAAAUUGCACAGAAAAUUCAAAAGUCCAUAUGUAGUUAAGUUUUAUUACUUGUCUCUCUUAGCAAUAAACACAUGUGCAUAAUACAUUGCCUUUUUAUAUGUGUAAUUGUCUCAUUUUACAAUUCCCAUAAAUAUAUUGAAAAUUCUUUUUGAACCCUAAAAUAUAACCUUAUGUAAAAACAUAGGAGAUAAUAUUUUUGCCUGGAGUUUGGUAUUUUAUAUGAUGUUCAGAUCCUAAGAGACUUACUCUCAUAUAGCUUAGUGUAAGUGUGCAUCUAGGGAAAGUAUAAUAUUUCCACAAAGGGAGAUAACUCUUAACAUUUAAUUUUCACUUCAGAUUAAAAUAAACAAUUAAUUUUCCCAUAGGCGACAAUGAUAGCCUUUUUUGAGAUACAGACUUUAGAAAGUUGAUUUUUUUUUAACGAAACCUUGCUAGAAUUACAGAAAAGUUAUUCGGACAGUACUUUUUGUUCCAAAAAAUUUGUGUUGCUUUUCUUAGCGUAUUUUGUACUUAUCUCCCAUGCCUAUCAAUUUUGCACCUUAAAUUAUGUGUCUCAUUUCCGUUAGGGCUAAGGAAAAUAAUUUCUUUGGCCUAUCAUAUCAUGCAGAAUGCACAAAGUCUCUAUUAAUAUAAAAAUUAUGGGCGCACUUAUCAACCAAUCAGGAUUAGCCAUACUCUUAAUUCUGAAUACCAUGUUAUGCUCAUAAAAUGGCUGUGCCCAUACAAUCUAAUGGUGUAUUGUAACCUAUAAGGUAUUCAAUACUUUCUAGAAUCGUGCAAUUCAUAGUGCGUUAGAUGCAAAAAUAUAUAUGCCUCACAUAAAUCAACUUCAAACCGUCCUUGCAUUACUCUCUGAAUUUUCAUAAAAAAAUUUCAGAGGUGACCCCAGUCAUAAAUGUAAAAAAAAAUAAUCUGAUUUUUGUAGUAAAUGCGCCCUCCUUGUAACCUUCAUUGACUGGUAUCUUGUUUUGUGUUUGAGUUUAUUUCCCCUAUACAAGAGAUGAGAGAUGUAGAACCAUCUGUCUUUACGUAAGGAUGCAUCUAACCAAAUAGUGCACAUGUUUGUUAUGUUUGAACACUUUUUUUUCAAGUUUGUACUUUUAAUUAUUCCUUUUAUAGCAUCUGGAGACAAUAUAUUGAAUGUCUUUUUUUAUUUGUGUUGUUAGGUUGUUGUUAAAUUGACAUAUAUACCACAUCUGUUAUUUAUAUAUAUAUGAAAAGUUCAUCCUGUUUGAAUUAUGCAAUGUAUGUGAUCUUAUGUAUUAUAGUUGUUAUACAGUAUAUUGCUUAGUAACAGAAAGGAAUUUUGAUACAAUUGUGUGAAAAAAGUAAGAAAAAGCAAUUAUAUAAUCAAGCUUAUAGUUGUGUGUUUUGUAUUUGUAAUAAGGAUUACAUUUUCAACUUUUCCUAGAAUGUUUUCACUCCCGGUUUUUGUUUGGCAAUGCAUUAAAAAAAUUAUUUUUUAUGUGCACAGCAACUUCUGUAACUUUUAUGGGGAACUAAGUUUAAUAUUUGAAUUAAAGUAUUUCAUCCAUCCACAAAGAUGGCCACUGAUGCUAAGAAUAUAACAAAAGGUUAAAAUACAUUUUUUGGCUUUUAUGUUUAAAACUAAAGAAGUAUAAGCUAAAUUAAUGACCUAGUAAAAAUUACCAGCAGGUCAAGGUCUAUUUGGCAAAUUUCUAAGUUUUGGGUAAUUUUCUUGAAAUAGACCAAGAGAAAUUUUAAAAGUUAAAAUAAUGGUUAACCACAACAACAAGAUCUUCAAAAUGUUAACUUAGUAGAAAUUGCCAAUUGACCCAUUAGGUGUUGUGGCCUUGGGUAUAAAUUGCCAAUUGACCCAUUAGGUGUUAUUGCCUUUGAAAACAUGCUUUUUAUCCUUUUUGCAUUUUAUCUAGAAACUAUAGUAGAUUAAGAGUCUCUCAAUGAUACAAAUAUUCAGCAAAAUAAAAUCUAGAAAUAAGUCAACAUGUACGACAUUGUCAAUUGACCCUUUAUAGAAGUUACUGCCCUUGAAAGGUGAUUUUUUACCUAUUUUGAGUAUUUGUGAUCAUCAUUACCAGAUCUUUAAAAAAAGCCACAUAAUAAGAUUUACAAAUAAGCAAACAUAACUGAUUGCAAUAAAAUUUAAAUCUCAAAAUGGCAUAUUAUUAUCAGGUGAACAAUUCAAGCUCUUGGGAGCCAUCUUGUUUAAAUCCUUGUUAUUUCUACAACUUUUUUUGUACAGUUUGAAAUUACUUUCUGUCCAUAAUUUUAUUUUAUGUUUUUUGUAUCUGAAAAAAAAACCAAGCGCUGCACACAGAACUCCCUUGUUUGACAUGUACAUUAUUCUCAAGUCAGAAAGACUUUACUUUUUUGUAAAUGAUAUUUUUAAUUUUAGCUGUAUACAUAAAUGGUUACUUAAAACUACAUAAGAAGUGCUGUUAAAUUUUGUUAUUCAUAGAAUAACAAAAAAUAAUAUAUAAAUAUCGUGUUCAGGAUGUAGGAAUAAUUUAUUCAGGUAAAACUUUAUUAUACAUGUAAUAGUAAUUAUAUGGCUGUUUUGUUGUGAAAAUGACAUAUAUAAAAUGUAUGUUUAGAGGGAAAAGAUUAUACAUUUACAUUAUUAAUGUGCAUUGUGUGCAUGUGUGUUAGUUAUAUAUAGCAUGUUAUUGAUUAUAUGUGUAUACUUCUGUCUCAAUACUAAAUAAAGGAUUGAUCCGCUUGAUACAAA
rnacentral:lncRNA from 1 species